GGGCAAUCCGCUAUCGCCUUCGACCAGAGAUGAGAGAUGAGAUCGUGAGAAUAGGACGACUCGUGUUCCCAAACGCCUGAGGGCUCCUUUUUCGCGCCCUCGACGGUCCUCCAGCUGCUUUCUUUGAGCCGUCAGAUGAUUCAGAAUCGUUUUUCUGAAAGGAUUUUUCGGUGUUCUAGGGUUUUUGCUCCUCAGCUUGAUCGUUAACUAGACGCAUGGACAUGGAAGCUAGCUGCCCUAAAGAGCCUUUUUGGACAGGAAGAGACUCUGCAGCAACUCCACCUGGGCACUGUUGAAAUCCAUGGUCUCCACAAGCGCUGAGAGCUGAUUGCUGAGGUCGUCGACCUCUUGAUGAAGGCUCUUGAUAUAGUUGCACGUCUCGAGUAGGAGACUUGCUGCGGAAGCCUGCAUCAGUGUGAAAUUUCAACCCUUUAGAAAAUACAUGUGGAGCACUUCAGGGCAAUCCCAAGGCAAGCUAUGAUUAGAGGAUCCCUUAAUGCAUCUCCAGCUUUCAGUCACCACUGCAGUGGAAGUGCUGAUCCGAGCCAGUGGAUCUGCUGAAUCAACACAACUUUCGCUAGUGCAGCUGCUGUUAGAUAUGUUGAUUUAAGGUAUCACGUAUCUAAGACGACCAGGACAGCCGAUUAUUGCGGUGAGGACGGGAUACGGUGAAUUGCUGCAAACCCCCCUCCCCUUGUGCUUUUAAAAUGCAAAUGUAACUGAAAGGUAAGCUUUUGUUUUUGGAAGUAUUAAUGGUUACGUGGGGUAUGCUUUCAUGUAAACUUUACAUUUGCCAUCAAAUCGAUCAACAUGCUAUGAUCAACAUGACAAUGACAAUCUAAAGGAAUGACAACAUGCUAUUGACCUUUUCGAUAA